rnacentral:rRNA from 1 species
GACGAACGCUGGCGGCGUGCUUAACACAUGCAAGUCGAACGGAAAGGCCCUGCUUGCAGGGUACUCGAGUGGCGAACGGGUGAGUAACACGUGGGUGAUCUGCCCUGCACUUCGGGAUAAGCCUGGGAAACUGGGUCUAAUACCGGAUAGGAGCCAUUUUUAGUGUGAUGGUUGGAAAGUUUUUUCGGUGUAGGAUGAGCUCGCGGCCUAUCAGCUUGUUGGUGGGGUAAUGGCCUACCAAGGCGGCGACGGGUAGCCGGCCUGAGAGGGUGGACGGCCACAUUGGGACUGAGAUACGGCCCAGACUCCUACGGGAGGCAGCAGUGGGGAAUAUUGCACAAUGGGCGCAAGCCUGAUGCAGCGACGCCGCGUGGGGGAUGACGGACUUCGGGUUGUAAACUCCUUUCGCUAGGGACGAAGCUUUUUGUGACGGUACCUAGAGAAGAAGCACCGGCUAACUACGUG